rnacentral:rRNA from 1 species
CCUACGGUGUGCUGCAGUGGGGAAUAUUGGACAAUGGGGGGAACUCUGAUCCAGCGACGCCGCGUGAGUGAAGAAGCAUUUCGGUAUGUAACACUCUAUCAGCAGGGAAGAAAAUGACGGUACCUGACUAAGAAGCCCCGGCUAACUACGUACCAGCUUCCGCGGUAAUACGUAGGGUGCACGCGUGAUCCGGAUUUACUGGGUGUAAAGGGAGCGUAGACGGGGCAGAGAGUAUGAGAUGAAAGGUCGGGGCGCAACUCCGGGACUGCAUUGGAAACUGUUGAACUGGAGUCCAGGAGCGGUAAGCGGAAUUCAUAGUGUAGCGGUGAAAUGCGUAGAUAAUAGGAGGAACACCAGUGGCGAAGG